rnacentral:piRNA from 1 species
UAGAAGGCCCUAUCAGUAAGUUUAAUUC